GCUCCCUGAACGAAGAUGCGAGAAGAAGCCUGACCGCAGUUUCCCAUCAGGAACCAACAUGUCACCCUACGUGUAAUGUAACUUGCCUGCUUUACCCAUCCAGAAUGGACUGACUCACUGGUCCUGCAUUUGGAUGUGGGGGACAGGCCACACCUGACAGCAGGGAUGCCAACUUAACCACAGACCACUGCAGGUACAGAGUCAGAGUUCCCAACAGCAGGGCCAGGACCACACACCAUCCCUGCUGACCAUGGACAGUGCAUAGCAGAGGGAGAGUUUUCCACUCUGCAGGACCAGAGCCCACCGUUGCCCCUGGGAAGUCCCACCACCACCACACUUCCCGCAGUGUCCACACCUGUGGGGAAAUGGGCAGAGGUCAGGAUGCUGGCCGCCUGCCCCCAGGCUCUGCCCCCUAGGCGCCCCCACCUCAUAGCCCUACCACUCUAUUACCACACAAAAAUAACUUUGUAAAUAGUUUGCA